AUUGUAGCUUAAUGGAUAGCGCGCCAGCCCGUAGGACUGGACUCCCGGGUUCGAUUCCCGGC
rnacentral:tRNA from 16 species